UACGUAGGGGGCAAGCGUUGUCCGGAUUUAUUGGGCGUAAAGAGCGUGUAGGCGGCUAUACGGGUCCGCUGUGAAAACUCGAGGCUCAACCUCGAGACGUCGGUGGAAACCGUAUGGCUAGAGUCCGGAAGAGGAGAGUGGAAUUCCUGGUGUAGCGGUGAAAUGCGUAGAUAUCGGGAGGAACACCAGUGGCGAAGGCGACUACCUGGCCUGUUCUUGACGCUGAGGCGCGAAAAGCUAGGGGAGCAAACGGG
rnacentral:rRNA from 1 species